AUACGUAGGUGGCAAGCGUUAUCCGGAAUUAUUGGGCGUAAAGAGGGAGCAGGCGGCAGCAAGGGUCUGUGGUGAAAGCCUGAAGCUUAACUUCAGUAAGCCAUAGAAACCAGGCAGCUAGAGUGCAGGAGAGGAUCGUGGAAUUCCAUGUUUAGCGGUGAAAUGCGUAGAUAUAUGGAGGAACACCAGUGGCGAAGGCGACGAUCUGGCCUCCAACUGACGCUGAGUCCCGAAAGCGGGGGGAGCAAAUAGGAUUAGAUACCAUAGUAAUCCACGCCGUAAACGAUGAGUACUAAGUGUUGGAUGUCAAAGUUCAGUGCUGCAGUUAACGCAAUAAGUACUCCGCCUGAGUAGUACGUUCGCAAGAAUGAAACUCAAAGGAAUUGACGGGG
rnacentral:rRNA from 1 species